UACGUAGGGUCCGAGCGUUAAUCGGAAUUACUGGGCGUAAAGCGUGCGUAGACGGUUACGUAAGUCGGGUGUGAAAGCCCCGGGCUCAACCUGGGAAUUGCAUUCGAGACUGCGCAGCUAGGGUGCGGAAGAGGGAAGCGGAAUUUCCGGUGUAGCGGUGAAAUGCGUAGAUAUCGGAAGGAACAUCAGUGGCGAAAGCGGCUUCCUGGUCCAGCACCGACGUUCAGGCACGAAAGCGUGGGGAGCAAACAGG
rnacentral:rRNA from 1 species